rnacentral:rRNA from 1 species
AUUGAACGCUGGCGGCAGGCCUAACACAUGCAAGUCGAGCGAGCGGCGGACGGGUGAGUAAUGUCUGGGAAACUGCCUGAUGGAGGGGGAUAACUACUGGAAACGGUAGCUAAUACCGCAUACCAUCAGAUGUGCCCAGAUGGGAUUAGCUAGUGGGUGGGGUAACGGCUCACCUACGCGACGAUCCCUAGCUGGUCUGAGAGGGUGACCAGCCACACUGGAACGGAGACACGUCCCAGACUCAUACGGGAGGCGGCAGUGGGGUAUAUUGCACAAUGGGCGCAAGCCUGAUGCAGCCAUGCCGCGUGUGGUAAGAAGGCCUUCGGGUUGUAAAGCACUUUCAGCGGGGAGGCGUUACCCGCAGAAGAAGCACCGGCUAACUCCGUGCCAGCAGCCGCGGUAAUUC